rnacentral:rRNA from 1 species
UGAAAGCUGGCCCCCUCGGGGUCCGCAUUGUAAUUUGCAGAGGAUGCUUCGGGAGUGGCCCCCAUCUAAGUGCUCUGGAACGGGCCGUCAUAGAGGGUGAGAAUCCCGUAUGGGAUGGGGUGUCCGCGACCAUGUGAAGCUCCUUCGACGAGUCGAGUUGUUUGGGAAUGCAGCUCUAAAUGGGUGGUAAAUUUCAUCUAAAGCUAAAUAUUGGCCGGAGACCGAUAGCGCACAAGUAGAGUGAUCGAAAGAUGAAAAGCACUUUGAAAAGAGAGUUAAAAAGCACGUGAAAUUGUUGAAAGGGAAGCGCUUGCGACCAGACUCGCCUGCGGGGUUCAGCCGGUAUUCGUACCGGUGUACUUCCCCGUGGGCGGGCCAGCGUCGGUUUGGGCGGCCGGUCAAAGGCCCUCGGAAUGUAACGCCUCUCGGGGCGUCUUAUAGCCGAGGGUGCCAUGCGGCCAGCCCGGACCGAGGAACGCGCU